CAAGAAGCGCCGAAAGGCUGCUUUACAACCAUAGCGAACCUAUCCUUCAGCGUUGCUUCGGCGGGUCGGCCCGCCCCCUCGGGGCCGGCGCGCUGGCCUCGGCCGCCGCCCGCCGGAGGAUACCGAAACUCUUUACAUUAGUAGCCUCUCUGAGUAUUUACAAUGCAAUAAGUCA
rnacentral:misc_RNA from 1 species